UUCAUGCCUUCAAAACUAGUACCAACU
rnacentral:piRNA from 1 species